rnacentral:tRNA from 1 species
GGAGUUGUGGCUCAGUGGUAGAGCACUUGCCUGGCAUAUGUGAGGCCCUGGGUUUGAGUCUCAUCACUCCA